GAUGAACGCUGGCGGCGUGCUUAACACAUGCAAGUCGAACGAGAAGUGAAGACGGAACCCUUCGGGCGGAAGGCUUUAUUUCGAGUGGCGGCCGGGUGAGUAACGCGUGGGUAACCUGCCUCAUACAGGGGGAUAACAGUUGGAAACGACUGUUAAUACCGCAUAAGACCACAGCACCGCAUGGUGCGGGGGUAAAAACUCCGGUGGUAUGAGAUGGACCCGCGUUCGAUUAGCCAGUUGGCGGGGUAACGGCCCACCAAAGCGACGAUCGAUAGCCGAUCUGAGAGGAUGACCGGCCACAUUGGGACUGAGACACGGCCCAAACUCCUACGGGAGGCAGCAGUGGGGAAUAUUGCACAAUGGGGGAAACCCUGAUGCAGCGACGCCGCGUGAGUGAAGAAGUAUUUCGGGAUGUAAAGCUCUAUCAGCAGGGAAGAAAAUGACGGUACCUGAGUAAGAAGCCCCGGCUAACUACGUG
rnacentral:rRNA from 1 species